UCCGUAGGUGAACCUGCGGGAGGGUCAUUAAUGAAUAUUAGGGCGCCUUUACUUAACCGUAUUGGGCCUGACCUCCAUUAUUCACACUUGUGCACCAAAACCAAUGUUGCAACGGCGAAAAGAGGGCUUUUCGCGAAGUCUUCAAAGUAGUUAUUGCUUCAUUUUACUAUUAUACUCUAAGUCAAUGAAUGUAAUUAAACCAUAACAAAAUAAAACUUUCAACAACGGGUCUCUUGGCUCUCGCAUCGAUGAAGAACGCAGCGAAAUGUGAUAAGUAAUGUGAAUUGCAGAAUUCAGUGAAUCAUCGAAUCUUUGAACGCACCUUGCGCUCUCUGGUAUUCCGGGGAGCAUGUCUGUUUGAGUGUCAUGAACUCUUCAACCCACCGGUUCCUGGUUGGGUCGAGUUGGUGUUUGGGUCUUGAAUGUUGCUGGCUUGAUUUCUUAGGGAGUGAAAGCGUAGCUCGUUCGUAAUACAUUAGCAUCUCAAUUUCUGAACUUCGGGUUGACUCAGCGUUAUAGACUAUUCGCUGAGGGCACAAGUAACAUUGUGGCCGAGUUGAAAGAUAACUAGAAGCUUCUAAUCCCUUACUAGUCAAAACUAUAAGAUUAGACCUCAGAUCAGGCAGGGUUACCCGCUGAACUUAAGCAUAUCAAUAAGCGGGGGGAAAG
rnacentral:rRNA from 1 species